UACGGAGGGUGCGAGCGUUGUCCGGAAUCACGGGGCGUAAAGGGCGCGUAGGCGGCCUGAUAAGUAGGGGGUGAAAUCCUGCGGCUUAACCGCAGGGCUGCCUUCUAAACUGUCAGGCUGGAGCACAGUAGAGGCAGGUGGAAUUCCCGGUGUAGCGGUGGAAUGCGUAGAGAUCGGGAAGAACAUCAGUGGCGAAGGCGGCCUGCUGGGCUGUUGCUGACGCUGAGGCGCGACAGCGUGGGGAGCAAACAGG
rnacentral:rRNA from 1 species